AUCAUCGAACCAGGGUAGUUUGGAAUACCAGACAGCGUCGUUGGCUCCACCUGUGACGGUGGUGCAAUUCUCCGAUGAUGUUGGAGUCAGCAGCAGUUGUAGGUUGCAUAAAAAUUAGAGAAAAGCAUCCAGUACACUGACAUCCUGGAGCAGAGGGAUAACAGGGUGUACGGUGGAAUUUCGGAAGAAACGGUGUUCUGGGAUACCACUUACCCACUGGAUGACAGUCAGACGGUCCUGUUUGGUGGCAAUAAAGCUGCACAGAACAAACAAAAACUGUACGGAACAGAAUCUUCCAACACUGGCAGACCAGGUUAGAUCUAUCGCUUAUGGUGGUGGAAUCGCGGAAAUAUAGGUCAUAAACAACGGGUGAAAUUACUUUCACAACGGUAUAUGGACCAGAGAACUUGGGAGCCAGUUUGGCUGUAAAGCUAUCAACGGCGGAUGACAACGGAUUAGCACGGCGCAGAACUCUAUCACCGACAU